UUGGCAGUAGUUGGCUACAGAAGUAGAU
rnacentral:piRNA from 1 species